rnacentral:sRNA from 1 species
GUUUCGAUCUGCUGCGGCGCGAUAAAAUGAAUGUGCGUGUCGAUGCCUCCGGCCGUCACGAUUUUUCCUUCGCCCGCGAUCACCUCGGUGCUAGCCCCGACGACCAUAUUCGCGUCGACGCCGUCCAUGAUGUCGGGAUUUCCCGCCUUGCCGAUGCCGACGAUCCGCCCGUCCUUCAUGCCGAUAUCGGCUUUGUAAAUUCCGGUAUAGUCGAUGACGACCGCGUUGGUGAUCAGCGUGUCCAGCACGCCUUCGUCCCGAACGGCCCGGCUCGACUGCCCCAUUCCGUCCCG